CGUUCCCGGGCCUUGUACACACCGCCCGUCACGUCACGAAAGUCGGUAACACCCGAAGCCGGUGGCCCAACCCUUGUGGGAGGGAGCUGUCGAAGGUGGGACUGGCGAUUGGGACG
rnacentral:rRNA from 1 species